rnacentral:rRNA from 1 species
UACAGAGGAUGCAAGCGUUAUCCGGAAUGAUUGGGCGUAAAGCGUCUGUAGGUGGCUUUUUAAGUCCGCCGUCAAAUCCCAGGGCUCAACUCUGGACAGGCGGUGGAAACUACCAAGCUGGAGUACGGUAGGGGCAGAGGGAAUUUCCGGUGGAGCGGUGAAAUGCAUAGAUAUCGGGAAGAACACCAACGGCGAAAGCACUCCGCUGGGCUGAUACUGACACUGACAGACGAAAGCUAGGGUAGCGAAAGGG